GUUUUAUUUUAGCUUAAUAAAUUUGUUAUUAAUUUAAUUUAUAUGUAAAUUUUUGUGUGUAUUUUUAUUUAUUUAAAUAAUAAUUAUUUUAUUUAAUUCGCAGUAAUUAAUAUUAUUAAUUAAAGAAAUUUAGAGAUAGAUAUAGUAAAAAGUAUUGGCUAAAUUUGUGCCAGCAGCCGUGGUUAUACAAAUAAUGCAAAAGAAUUUUUUCAGAAAAAGUUAAAUUAAAUUUAAAUAAAUUAAAUAAAUUUUUAUUAGGUGAAAUUUUAAAAAUUUAAUAUUUUAAUUAAUAAAUAAUUGAAGCUUAAAAAUUUUAUUGAUAAACUAGGAUUAGAUACCCUAUUAUUUAAAAUGUAAUUAAAAAAUUUUGAGUAGUAUUAGAUAUGAUCUUGAAACUUAAAAAAUUUGGCGGUAUUUUAGUCUAUUCAGAGGAACCUGUUCUGUAAUCGAUAAUCCACGAUGGAUCUAACUUAAAUUUGUUUAUCAGUUUAUAUACCGUCGUUAUCAGAAUAUUUUGUAAAAAUAAUAAUUUUCAAUAAUUUUAAUAAAAAUGUAUAUCAGAUCAAGGUGUAGCUUAUAUUUAAGUAGAAAUGGGUUACAAUAAAUUUAUUUAAAUGAAUAUAAAAAUGAAAAAUUUUAUUGAAAGUGGAUUUGAUAGUAAAAUUAUAAAGAUUGAUAAUUUGAUUUUAGCUCUAAAAUAUGCACACAUCGCCCGUCGCUCUUAUUAUUAAGAUAAGAUAAGUCGUAACAUAGUAGAGGUACCGGAAGGUGCCUCUAGAAU
rnacentral:ncRNA from 1 species